UGGGGAAUAUUGCACAAUGGAGGGAACUCUGAUGCAGCGACGCCGCGUGAGUGAUGAAGGAAUUCGUUUCGUAAAACUCUGUUCUAUGGGAAGAAAAGGACUGUACCAUAGGAGAAAGCUCCGGCUAAAUACGUGCCAGCAGCCGCGGUAAUACGUAUGGAGCGAGCGUUGUCCGGAAUUAUUGGGCGUAAAGGGUGCGCAGGCGGCUUUACAAGUUGGAUGUGAAAUAUUGUGGCUCAACCACAAACGUGCAUCCAAAACUGCAAAGCUUGAGUUAAGGGGAGGUAAGUGGAAUUCCUGGAGUAGCGGUGGAAUACGUAGAUAUCAGGAGGAAUACCGGUGGCGAAGGCGACUUACUGGACUUAAACUGACGCUCAGGCACGAAAGCGUGGGGAGCAAACAGG
rnacentral:rRNA from 1 species